GAACCAGCCCUUGAGAAAGAAAUUUGUUGCAGUAUAAAGCUGAAAGGAUAUCAGACAUGGAGGGAGGAACAGAGUACCAAUCAACUUCCGGAGUCACCAUUAUGAAAAAGGACCUGACUGUGGCAGGGUCAUUAAGAAUUUCUUUCCAUUUUCCUCAAGUGCUGUUGAUUCUGUUCAGAGCAAUGUCUCCUGUAGCUGAGGCUUGCUUCAUGCUACAUAAUUGAUAAUUGCUUUGAGCACCCAAUCCUGCCUCUGCGCUCAGUGCUGGAAACAGAGUCUUGCAACUCUCCCAGGCUAGUCUUUGACUGGUCAAUGAAAAGGAACAAUAAAACAGUGAAUGAGUGUGCUCUUAA
rnacentral:lncRNA from 1 species